rnacentral:rRNA from 1 species
CCAGACUCCUACGGGAGGCAGCAGUGGGGAAUAUUGCACAAUGGGGGGAACCCUGAUGCAGCCAUGCCGCGUGAAUGAAGAAGGCCUUCGGGUUGUAAAGUUCUUUCGGUAGCGAGGAAGGCAUUUAGUUUAAUAGACUAGAUGAUUGACGUUAACUACAGAAGAAGCACCGGCUAACUCCGUGCCAGCAGCCGCGGUAAUACGGGGGGUGCGAGCGUUAAUCGGAAUAACUGGGCGUAAAGGGCACGCAGGCGGUGACUUAAGUGAGAUGUGAAAGCCCCGGGCUUAACCUGGGAAUUGCAUUUCAUACUGGGUCGCUAGAGUACUUUAGGGAGGGGUAGAAUUCCACGUGUAGCGGUGAAAUGCGUAGAGAUGUGGAGGAAUACCGAAGGCGAAGGCAGCCCCUUGGGAAUGUACUGACGCUCAUGUGCGAAAGCGUGGGGAGCAAACAGGAUUAGAUACCCUGGUAGUCCACGCUGUAAACGAUGUCGAUUUGGGGGUUGGGCUUUAAGCUUGGCGCCCGUAGCUAACGUGAUAAAUCGACCGCCUGGGGAGUACGGCCGCAAGGUUAAAACUCAAAUGAAUUGACGGGGGCCCGCACAAG